ensembl:lncRNA
AUGUUGACAGCUCCAGUGUCUCAGUGUGUGAAUCUGCGUUUGGUGGAUGACGUACAGUGGACCAGACACUCUGUCACAUUAUUUAACCAUCCAAAAGUCACAGAAAAUCUGACCUUGAUCCAUGGCUCGGGUCGCUUUCAUGCCCAUCUACAAGACAACCAGUUAGCCAGCAUCAACCAGGAGAACAGCAAUGUAAUACAGGUGUCUCCACUUCAAACUGGAUCUUCAGUUCUUAUGGCACAUGACCUCUGUCUGACCUCUGAUCCUGCUGUGGCCUCCUUUCUUGUCUCUGAUAUCAAAGAUUUCCAGAUUGACUUCAUCAGUAAUGUACGCUGUAGACCGAAGCUUAUCUCUUUCAUCUUUUUAGAUUUUACUACACAUUUUUUUUCUUCAUUUUUAUGUGCACUGAAUCUUUGUCUCCUAUGCUGAUGCUUUUUAGAUUGAGGUCAGACAUUCUGCUGUAGUGCGAGUGCGUGUUCUGGACUCAAAUAAUCAACCAUUUCUUCAUCACUACCUGUUGCUCAUGAACCUCAUGCUUAUCCCUUCUUCAUCCAUCAUUUCUGUGGAGUGAGUCUAUGCCAUGUGUCUUUGCCAAGUACUACAUUCUACAUUUACAAACUGAACGCAAUUCAAAGAAAUACAUAUAAAUUUGUAAGAGUAUAUCAUACACGUAUGAGGUAUUUCCACAAAAAAUAAAUUAUAUUGAUAAUCAAAUAUAUUUAAUUAA